rnacentral:lncRNA from 1 species
AGGAGGACCGACAGAUGAACGGAUGACCUGCUUGCUGGGCUUCCCAUUACUAAUUCUUGAGACAUGAGGACCACUGACUGGUAAGGGAAUUGCCCUAUGAUGGAUGAGCCUGCCUCAAGCUGCCAUAAGCUGGGAGGACCGACGGUUGACUGACUCUGCCUGCUUAGUUGGCCAUUACCAAUUCCUGAGGCCCAGUGUUUUCGUACCCCUGUCCAUUUAGGAAAGAGUUGCAUCUUUCAUCAAAGAAACUGACAUCUAAAAGUUGAGACAAACUGGAUGAGCUAGGCUGCUUUGUCUGGACGAAAAUGAACCCUUCAAGGCUCCAACAGCCUCAUCACACAGAAACUCGAGGAACCGGAAGCAGGAAGGAGGACCGACGGAUAAACGGAUGACCUGCUUGCUGGGCUUCCCAUUACUGAUUCUUGAAAAAUGAUGACCACUGACUGAUGAGGGAAUUGACUCAUGAGAUGAGGAUGAGCCUGCCUCAAGCCAUCGUAAGCUGGGAGGACUGACGAUGGACUGACACCGCCUGCUGGCCUGGCCAUUACUGAUUCUUGAGGACAUGAGGUCCACCAAGCUUGGACGAGACUGGACAAUGACGAAGCUGCUCUACUGGACAAGGAUGCCCUCAUCGGAAACUUGAGUUUAAAAAACUAGCUUGCACAAAAUGAAAUGAUAAAUCAGACUGCAUAAUGCAAUGUCAUUAAUGUUAUACACUAAGGCAACAACACUAAACGAAAAGUAAUUGAUUUCAUUAAAUUAUUUAUGCCUCUAAAAUAAUCUUAAACCGGAUACUGCAACAGACAGUUAACAUUGGACAAUAAUGGAAACUUGCUGAAAAAUUAUUGUCAGGGUAAUAAUUUGUCACUGGCUUUUUAGCGGUGACAUUUCUGGGAGAAGGGAUGUUCCUUUGAUCUGUCCUGGGUCAUCCAAAAUUAUUACAUCAAUAAGUUCAUAAUUUCAUACUCCUUACCUUUAAUGCAUUCAAUUGGAUCUUCUCGGUAAAUUGUAAACGAGGUCUCGCCAAAGGCUUUCUAUUUGCUUUUUGUUCAGUUGACAAUGGAGAAUUUUGCUCUAUAAAUCUAAUUUGAUAUUGAAAGUGCAUUUUUAAGAAAACCAAUUUAAGUCAUAAGAGUUUUGAAAGAUUUCAAAAAGGAUUAAUUUAUUGUUUAAAAACUGAAGAAAUGUAACAAACUUUAUUUAAAUUUAACGUCUUUAACAAGACGUCGGUUUAACUAAAACGUGACUUUAUUUCCAUUGUAUAUUUAUUAGAAAACACAAGAACGUUUAAUUUUUAGGAAAAUUUAAAGAAUAAACUGUUCAAGAACUUCUAUCCAUCAAAAUGCAUUGCAACAGGUAUAAGUGACACUCGAAUUACAUUUGUGUUUGUCCUUUUGUAAUUUAUUUCAUUGCACUUUUUUUACUUGUUAUAUUUUUUACUUCGUAUGCACAAUUGUUUUUCUUGGUGGUUUUGCAUGUCUUUUCAUUUUCUUAUUGAUAAUUAACUAACCUCACAAAAGGAUAAACGCAAUAUAUUUCGAGUGUUGAACUUGCCUGGCAUCAAAUAUUUUUUUUCACAUAAUAGCUAAAUUAGACAAAAUAUAGUCCUGAAAUGUUUUGAAAUAAUCUAGGAAUUUUUUUGGAGGGGGGGCGGGGCAUUCCCAAGUUUUAUCUCCCUUUUUAAACUCUUGUUCACAAAAUGGCGAAAUACAAAAACCUGGCUUCACCGUGUACAGUCAUGUAAGAGGUGGCUUAUGUAAUAAUCAUCUAUGGUAUUAUAAAGUGAUUAUUAAUUUCUCAAAUUUAUUGGCCUUCUGACCAACUUUUUCCUCAUUUUGAAUCUUUUGUAUUUGUUUGUAUGAGUUGGUUUAAAUAUUUGUAUGUCAAUAAGACUAAGGAAUUAAACAAAAUAAAUUAAACUUGAAAGAUGUGAGACACUUGA